AAUCGAUUUCCUACGGGAGAUUU
rnacentral:snRNA from 1 species